rnacentral:rRNA from 1 species
CCUACGGGAGGCAGCAGUAGGGAAUCUUCCACAAUGGGCGAAAGCCUGAUGGAGCAACGCCGCGUGGGUGAAGCAGGUCUUCUGAUCGUAAAACCCUGUUGUUAGAGAAGAAAGUGCGUGCGAGUAACUGUUCACGUUUCGACGGUAUCUAACCAGAAAGCCACGGCUAGCUACGUGCCAGCAGCCGCGGUAAUACGUAGGUGGCAAGCGUUAUCCGGAUUUAUUGGGCGUAAAGGGAACGCAGGUGGUCUUUUAAGUCUGAUGUGAAAGCCUUCGGCUUAACCGGAGUAGUGCAUUGGAUACUGGGAGACUUGAGUGCAGAAGAGGAGAGUGGAACUCCAUGUGUAGCGGUGAAAUGCGUAGAUAUAUGGAAGAACACCAGUGGCGAAAGCGGCUCUCUGGGCUGUAACUGACGCUGAGGUUCGAAAGCGUGGGUAGCAAACAGGAUUAGAUACCCUUGUAGUC